rnacentral:sRNA from 1 species
AAUCAGGGAAGACUCUGGAUUUAAUGCCAUCACCGCUAGCCCGCUAAUGCGGGUUUUUU